UGUAGGUGAACCUGCCGUUGGAUCAGU
rnacentral:rRNA from 1 species